UGGGGAAUAUUGCGCAAUGGGGGGAACCCUGACGCAGCCAUGCCGCGUGAAUGAAGAAGGCCUUCGGGUUGUAAAGUUCUUUCGGUAUUGAGGAAGGUUGAUGUGUUAAUAGCACAUCAAAUUGACGUUAAAUACAGAAGAAGCACCGGCUAACUCCGUGCCAGCAGCCGCGGUAAUACGGAGGGUGCGAGCGUUAAUCGGAAUAACUGGGCGUAAAGGGCACGCAGGCGGUUAUUUAAGUGAGGUGUGAAAGCCCCGGGCUUAACCUGGGAAUUGCAUUUCAGACUGGGUAACUAGAGUACUUUAGGGAGGGGCAGAAUUCCACGUGUAGCGGUGAAAUGCGUAGAGAUGUGGAGGAAUACCGAAGGCGAAGGCAGCCCCUUGGGAAUGUACUGACGCUCAUGUGCGAAAGCGUGGGGAGCAAACAGGAUUAGAUACCCUGGUAGUCCACGCUGUAAACGCUGUCGAUUUGGGGGUUGGGGUUUAACUCUGGCGCCCGUAGCUAACGUGAUAAAUCGACCGCCUGGGGAGUACGGCCGCAAGGUUA
rnacentral:rRNA from 1 species